GAAAUGCGAUAAGUAAUGUGAAUUGCAGAAUUCAGUGAAUCAUCGAAUCUUUGAACGCACAUUGCGCUCGCCAGUAUUCUGGCGAGCAUGCCUGUUCGAGCGUCAUUUCAACCAUCAAGCUCUGCUUGCGUUGGGGAUCCGCGGCUGCCCGCGGUCCCUCAAAAACAGUGGCGGGUUCGCUAGUCACACCGAGCGUAGUAACUCUACAUCGCUAUGGUCGUGCGGCGGGUUCUUGCCGUAAAACCCCCAAUUUCUAAGGUUGACCUCGGAUCAGGUAGGAAUACCCGCUGAACUUAAGC
rnacentral:misc_RNA from 1 species